AAAACUUUUCGAAAGAAAAAAUCUGUUCUUAUCAGUUUAAUAUCUGAUACGCCCCCGAUUCGGGGGCAACGUAUUAAACCCAUUUUUAGAACAGGGAGCUGAAUAAGGGGCUCGCUCCGUUCGCUCCACGCAUCGACCAGUAUUGCAGCGCCUCCGGAGCGGUGCCCCUUUG
ensembl:snRNA U2 U2 spliceosomal RNA